ACUCUUCGUGCAUCUGCGCGAGCCGUUUCGCGCGUGUCCUACACACGCAGACACGCCAGCACGCACUCACAGCCAGCGACACAGGGACACCUGCUCCCUACUCCGUAUCCGUCGAGUGACUCCCUGCCGCUCUGGCGCAGGAGUUGCCGUCGCUCUUUUCGUGUACUCUAUCCGACUGUUGUGUAGAGGACACGUGCACACCAAGCGGGCGUGUGCUCGUGUGUGCACGCACACGGUGCUCCCCAUUCCUCUUCCGCUUUCCAAAGCUGCCACACGCCCACUGACGUACGCAGCAGCAGCAGCAGCAGCAGCGAGAGAGCGAAAUAGAGCCGCACACGCACGCAUCUAGGGCGCACCCUUCAGGAUUUCGGAGCGAGUCGCGCGCUACAGGCUUGCGCGUGCAUGCGUCUCCACCGCACCUUCGCACCUACCGUCAAGGCGCUUUUCAAAACAGGGUAGGGGUUGGGGGGGGGCGUGGGCCAAACGGGAAGAGAUGCUGCGCAAGCACCGUCCCCGGGAGCUCACCAUCCUGGAUCGCGUCUAUGAGCACAUUAGCCUGCCGCCGCUCGUCGUGGCGGCAAUUGACACGCCGGCCUUCCAGCGACUGCGGUCAUUGCACCAGCUCGGCGCAUCCUCCUUCCUGUACCCCGGCGCUGUGCACACGCGCUUCGAGCACAGCAUCGGUGUUGCCCACAUGGCCCGCACCCUUCUGCUAAAUAUCCAACACCACCAGCCGGACCUGGGGCUGAGUGAGGUGGACAUCGAGCUCGGCAUGCUGGCGGGGCUGCUCCACGACGUCGGGCACGGCCCCUUUUCUCACUUGUUCGAGGACGUCGUCUCGCGUCGCUGCGGCAUCGAGUUCAACCAUGAAGACAUGUCGGAGAAGAUUGCGCGGCGUGUGCUCGGCGACCUGGUCCCGCAGACGCACGUGGACGUGGUGGUGGGUCUGAUGCGCGGCAAGGCGUUGCUGGGUAUCACAUACGGCGAGAUCAUCAGCAACAAGCGGAACGGCAUCGAUGUGGACCGUCUCGACUACUUCAUUCGUGACUCGAUGUGCUGCUUCGGCAAGCCCACCGUCGACGUGCGCAUAAAUCGGCUUUUCAACUCUGCACGCAUAGUGUGCGAGGAGGGUCAGUGGCAGCUGGCCUUUGAGCAGAAGCUGGCCCUCUCCCUCCGCGAGAUCUUCACGCUGCGGGCGAAGCUGCACAAGAACGUGUACCAGCAUCAAGUCACAAAGGCAAUUGGCCACAUGAUCGGGGACGUCAUCCAUGCCGCGGCACCGUACUUUAGGGUGGGCGGCCACACCCUUGUCGAGUGCGCUCAGGACGAGACGCUCUUUCUGAAACUCGGCGACUGGAUCUUGGAGGCGAUCGAGGUGAGCGAGGCCCCGCAUCUGGCCGAGGCGCAUGCCAUUCUGCACCGACUCCGCACCCGCGACAUCUACCGCGUCGCCUAUUCGUCGUCUCUGGACAUCACGAUGCGGGCGCCAAUGGCGGCGGUGGACUGGGCGGCGGCCAUUCUCGAGCACGCCCACCCGUCGUUCCCGCUCAACGCGGACGACUUUAUUGCGGAGGUGGUCGUAAUCAACCAGGGCAAGGGCACGGCAGACCCGCUGGAGUCCGUGCUCUUCUUCAACCCCAAGAAGCCGUCACAGCCUCUCACGCGACUGAAGCCUGCAGAGGACCUAAAGCACGGCAGCCCGCUCUUCACCCCGCUCCAGUUUGAAGAGCGUACACUAAUGGUGUUUGAGCGCCGCCCAACGAACGGGGCGGUGCAGCGCGCCUGCGAGCGACUCAACGCUGACCCCAAGUACGCCGCCUUCUUCACCGAGUCCCUGCCCUUCUACAACACAAAAUGAUGCGUGUGUGAGAGAGGGAGCGGCGGCGCUUUGGGUAAGGGGGUGAUGGGCGCUGCAGACCGAGUGCAGGUGUGUGCGCGCGCUCUCCGUAGCCAAUUGCGCUCGAGGCGUGUGCGCCGCCGCCGCUGCCGUUUCCGUUCCUCGCCGUUCUUGUCUUCCUGCCAUGCCAGUGCGACGACGAUGACACAAACACACGAACGCCUCACCGUAAAACGCGACGUCAUGCCCCUUCGGCGGAGUAACGACUCGAGGGCGCGCACGUGUGUGCUGUGCGAGGCGUCCAGCAUUCGACGCCGCCACAGCUUUGCCGCCCAUGUCUGACGCUGCGGCCAGUGAGCACCCUUGCUGCUCCGUGCCGCGCGCUCUUCAUUUUCAGAGACACGUUUAUCACGCAUAUCGAUGUCCGCGGCCCCGCCCGCGUGUGCGUGCCUGCGUGCCUGCGUGCGUGCAUGUGCUGCAUGUCGCGUAUGGUUGUUGUUUCGAGUCCCAUGAUGCCCAUGCGUCGUCUCCUCUGCUCGUUCCCCCCGCAUCACUCCCCUUCUUCCGUCUUCUUCUGCGUUCGUCUUCUUGUUUGCGCUCUUCCUCUCGCCAG
rnacentral:misc_RNA from 1 species